AUUCCAGCUCCAAUAGCGUAUAUUAAAGUUGUUGCAGUUAAAAGGCUCGUAGUUGGAUUUCUGGUAGGAGUGACCGUGCCGAACUUGAUUGUUCGUGUAUUGUGUUGUCUCCAGCCAUCCUCGUGGAGAACUUUUCUAGCAUUAAUUUGUUGGGAUUGGGACCUGCGUCGUUUACUGUGAAAAAAUUAGAGUGUUUAAAGCAGGCAUUAGCUUGAAUACAUUAGCAUGGAAUAAUAAGAUAGGACUUUGGUACUAUUUUGUUGGUUUGCAUACCAAAUUAAUGAUCAACAGGAACAGUUUGAGGAUAUUCGUAUGAACAUGUCAGAGGUGAAAUUCUUGGAUUUUGAUCAGACGAACUACUGCGAAAGCAUUUAUCAAGGAUGUUUUCAUUG
rnacentral:rRNA from 1 species